UACGUAGGGGGCUAGCGUUGUCCGGAAUCAUUGGGCGUAAAGAGCGUGUAGGCGGCCAGGUAGGUCUGCUGUGAAAACUCGAGGCUCAACCUCGAGACGUCGGCGGAAACCAUCUGGCUAGAGUCCGGAAGAGGAGUGUGGAAUUCCUGGUGUAGCGGUGAAAUGCGCAGAUAUCAGGAGGAACACCGAUGGCGAAGGCAGGUCUCUGGGCCAUAACUGACGCUGAGAAGCGAAAGCAUGGGGAGCGAACAGG
rnacentral:rRNA from 1 species